UAAUCUCACUUCAACAACUUUUUUGUUGUUUGAAUGUGGACUUGGAUGUUGCCGUGUCAUUACGGCUCGUCUCAAAUGCCUGAGUGUACCCUGUUUUGCAGCGUAUCCAGUGUAAUAAACAUUUCACUAGAGUUGGUCGAAAGACUGCGUUUGCGAUUUGGGCUCUAUGCUUCAAACCGUCCACUUGUGGACAAACUUACUUGACA
rnacentral:misc_RNA from 1 species